rnacentral:lncRNA from 1 species
GUUUAAUUGGCUUGGAUAUCACAUCAUAAAUGUGUUUCAGUAAAUGUAACUGUCAACUCUUUUAUCCAAACUAGGAAAUUGCUUCUAAAUGAAACAAUCAUUAUACAUGCUGACUAUGGCAAUGAUUAGGUUUUUACUUUGGAAAAAGCAAUUGAAGGAAUUAACCAAGGCUACCAACCACAGUAAUUAAUUGUCAGAACCAAGGCUCUGUUGCCAGGAUAAAGGUCAGAAUCUGAAGCAGAAGCACAGGAGUGCAAGCAAAAUCACAGAAUUGGAUGAGGACUGAUGUCAAGUUGGAACAAAGCUUGUGACUAAACAUUUAAAGAAUGUCCCACUAGAAUAUAAGUCUGAAGAUUGCUCCCAAACUAGGAGAUAUAUCCUCAAGGGAAAAGAGUCACAAAAACUUCAAGUGAGUUCCAAGAACCAAGGUGUCUGUCCCAGCCCUUCAUGAGAGCAGCAUGCCUCCAACAGAAGUUUGGCAGAAGGUGGGAGUACUAGUCUGAAGUGGCAACAAUUAGCAAGAAUAUCACUAACCUCACUUCCUGGUCUCGAGACACAUCCUGUGUGACAGAAUGAAAUAGCGUGUAUUUGAGAAGGCUACAAGGAGACUGUUCUUAAGGGAAAAUAAUUGAAAGCAAGGACAUUUCCAUUUUGCUGAAUAUACAAUUUGAAUUUCACAGAGCAUGGCAGAAAUAUGGAAUUAGAAGGCAUAUGAAGCAGUAUUUUAAAAAGUCUGAAUGACGACGGGUGACCAGGGAGGUAUGAACUUCUCGUGAUGACUGAGGUCAGCAGAGAUAUCAGGCAUGGUGGAGGAUGAAUGAAGCAGGAACCCAACUGAGGAAGCUGCCCAGCCCCAAGGAUGUAGCCAUGGAGUCAUGGGAUAGAGUCCAGAGAAUUGAAGAAGCUACCAACGGGAAGUAGACUAAAGCUUAGCGAAGAAUUUCCCUCCCACCCGCUGCCCAGGGUAAGGGCUCUUCACAAUGCCUGC